UGUCAGAUAGCUCAGUUGGUUAAGGUGUAUGGAUUUUGCAAGAGGUCAAAGGUUCAAAUCCUACACUGGUAA